CCUACGGGUGGCCGCAGUCGAGAAUCUUCCGCAAUGGGCGAAAGCCUGACGGAGCGACACCGCGUGAUGGAUGAAGACCCUCUGGGUCGUAAACAUCUUUUAUAAGGGAGAAAGUUUAUUGAUAGUACCUUAUGAAUAAGGGGUUGCUAAACUCGUGCCAGCAGCAGCGGUAAUACGAGUGCCCCGAGCGUUAUCCGGAAUCAUUGGGCGUAAAGGGUGUGUAGGUGGUCUUGUUAGUCAGUUGUUAAAACCCGGGGCUUAACCCCGGAAGUGCGACUGAAACGGCAAAACUAGAGGAUGGCAGGGAUGUAUGGAACUCAUGGAGUAGGGGUGAAAUCCGUUGAUAUCAUGGGGAACACCAAAAGCGAAGGCAGUACAUUGGGCCACUCCUGACACUGAAACACGAAAGCGUGGGUAGCGAAUGGGAUUAGAUACCCGUGUAGUC
rnacentral:rRNA from 1 species